rnacentral:rRNA from 2 species
UUGCCCUAGUAACGGCGAGUGAAGCGGCAACAGCUCAAAUUUGAAAUCUGGCGUCUUUGGCGUCCGAGUUGUAAUUUGCAGAGGGCGCUUUGGCAUUGGCAGCGGUCCAAGUUCCUUGGAACAGGACGUCACAGAGGGUGAGAAUCCCGUACGUGGUCGCUAGCCUUUACCGUGUAAAGCCCCUUCGACGAGUCGAGUUGUUUGGGAAUGCAGCUCUAAAUGGGAGGUAAAUUUCUUCUAAAGCUAAAUACUGGCCAGAGACCGAUAGCGCACAAGUAGAGUGAUCGAAAGAUGAAAAGCACUUUGGAAAGAGAGUUAAAAAGCACGUGAAAUUGUUGAAAGGGAAGCGCUUGCAGCCAGACUUGCCUGUAGUUGCUCAUCCGGGUUUUUACCCGGUGCACUCUUCUAUAGGCAGGCCAGCAUCAGUUUGGGCGGUUGGAUAAAGGUCUCUGUCACGUACCUCCUCUCGGGGAGAACUUAUAGGGGAGACGUAAUGCAACCAGCCUGGACUGAGGUCCGCGCAUCUGCUAGGAUGCUGGCGUAAUGGCUGUAAGCGGCCCGUCUUGAAACACGGACCAAGGAGUCUAACAUCUAUGCGAGUGUUUGGGUGUCAAGCCCGAGCGCGUAAUGAAAGUGAACGGAGGUGGGAACCUUUCGGGGUGCACCAUCGACCGAUCCUGAUGUCUUCGGAUGGAUUUGAGUAAGAGCAUAGCUGUUGGGACCCGAAAGAUGGUGAACUAUGCUUGAAUAGGGUGAAGCCAGAGGAAACUCUGGUGGAGGCUCGCACCGGUUCUGA